GUAAAUCGGGGGAGAAAUUUGCCUUGCAAGCAGGAGGUCGCCGGUUCGAUCCCGACUAUCUCCACCA
rnacentral:tRNA from 1 species